AAAAAAAAAAAAAAAAAAAUGUUUUAUAUGAGCCGCGCCAUGAGAAAACCAGUAUAUAUUGGUUUUUCGAGCAGCCUGUCUACUGUAGACUGGAAAUCGAGCAUCUACUUUGGUAACAUUUUGCUAGAUAGAUAGUUAGAUAUAGUCGCUAGAAAAGUAAGAGUACCAUGAUGGACAAAAUGUGUUAAUAUUAUUGUUAUAAUUCGAAGAAAACCACCCUCACAGCUCAGUAUAUAACUUGUGAACAAACUACUGGUAUAAUUAUAGAUCUAUAGAUCUGUUAAUUAUUGAUUUAUUUUACAGUAACUAUGACCUUAUUGUUAAGCUAUGUUUAUUGUAAUAUGUAUGACGAGAAACUGUGUACAGUUUAAGUCAAUAAAAUAUUCUUCUUCUUCUUCUUCUCAUAAAACUUGCAUAAUGCAAACAAAAUCGUUUGUUUGAAUGUUUAACAGAUACCAUAAAAUGAUGAAUGCUCACAUUUCAUUUGCAAUCGGGCUUCAUGGGACUGAAUAUUUGGAAAGGGAAUUUUAUUACGACAUCUGAAAAAUAUAAAUAAAAGAAAUAAAGUAAAUUUACGGGUUCUUCACGUAGAAAUAUGAAAUUUCUGAACCGUUUGAAUACAAGAGGACUGCAGUUGUAAUUCACCCCAAAUGUCUUUUCAAACAGUAUGUCCGUUCUAUGGAUGUGAGAUUAAAAGACAAGGAAAGCCUGACGAACAGUUAACUUCCUAUGAAAGCCAUUAUCAAGCAUUUCAUAACGCUGAAAGAAUUUUUAAAAUCGGACCACUAUUAAAAAAGAUAUGGCAGUUUGAAAUUUAAGAAAAUUGCUGAUCAUGGAGGCAGGCAUUUUGUGUGUUUAUGACGUCAUUUACACACUGGUGAAUUCUUCAUUUAGCAAAACAAAUAACUUUUGGGAUUGAUUAAAUUUAUAUGUUUCUUGACUGUAAGAUGUAAAACAUGCUAAUUUAUUUCAUUAUAGCUUGAAAAAAUAGAUGAAUUAUUUUACAGAAAUAAGUAAAUACAGUUCAAAUAUGUGUUUAGAAAUUUUGAUCAAAUACUUAAAUGCUCAUAACAUUUUCAUCUUUAAGCCGAUUUUGAAAAUUCUUUCACUUCUUUAGAUGAUUAUAAAAUCCCAGCAGAUGGAAUUAACAUCAAACAACGUUGCCUUUCCCUUUAAAUAUUUUGUAUUUUUCCUAUCAGAUACUUCUUGAAAUUAACAAUGCGUUAUAGUUAACGCAGAUGUGCAUUUCUGAGAAAGUCGAUACAUCCAAGUGUUUUCUCUUAAUGCUUGAUCAGUAAAUAAGUAGUGAGUAAGUUUUCAACAAUAUGUCUAUAAUAGAAUGCAUAUAAUUGGAAUAUAUGUAGUGUUAUGAGUACUGUAUAUGUUUAAGCAAGAUAUUUUAAAUGUACACAAUGGAUGAUUGUACAUCUGAUUCAGUGAAACGGUACUGCGUAUGGUCAGUUAGAUAUGGUAUUCUGAUUUUCAUUUCUUCAUUCAUUGUAUUAAAGUGUAUAAGCGAAGGAAAUAUAUCUGUGUUAUACAGACCUUUCAGUGAAUCAAUUAUACGUGUGUUCGGAUAUAAAGACGAUGAAAACAACAAUGGUGUAUACGGUAACACAUAUCAUGACAAUAAUAAUGAAGUCCUAAAUUUAGCAAGAAAAAUCAGUUCAUAUAAUAAGACAGUUUUAGUUAGUGUAGUAAAUGACGCAUAUUUACCCUUUGCUUAUAGCUGGCUUUGUAAUACGAAAGGCAUGGGAGUUCAUAAAUCUGUAUUAGUAAUUACAACGGAUAAUACAUCUAAAAUUAAGCUUAAUAGAGACUGGCCUGAAGUGUCAGUCUUCCAUCUACAACUUGAUAUACCCAAAGGUGAUCAGGAAUAUAGUCAUGUCGGCUAUGUCAAAAUUAUGAUUCGUAGGACAGAAAUAAUUUUGUCUUUAUUACAGGCAAACAUUGACUUGCUUUUACUUGAAUUUGACUACGUUUUGUUUUCAAACCCAAUACCUGGCUUACAAAAGCGAUCUGGUGUUGACAUGUUUGUGAAUCCAGUUUCUAAUACCGGAGGAACUAUUUUCAAUGGAGGACUACUUUAUCUUUUUGCAACAAACCGCACAAAAGUCCUAUGGACUAAGCUAACAGAAAUGACGUGGAAGCUUGAACGAGAUAUAAAGGAGAAACCAGAUAAAAAGGCAAUAUCCGAAAGGCAUAAUGACCAGACAUUCUUGUCGGAGUUAGUUCGUGAAAGGUAUGCAAACGUCAGUACAGAAUUACUAACGCUAGAUGUAUACGCUGAUGGUAAAUGGUACAGAAUGAGUAACGCCGAGAGGCAGAAAUUACAUCCUAUUGUUAUCAGCAACAACUUUAUAACAGGCAAACAUUGACUUGCUUUUACUUGAAUUUGACUACGUUUGGUUUUCAAACCCAAUACCUGGCUUGCAAAAGCGAUCUGGUGUUGACAUGUUGGUGAAUCCAGUUUCUAAUACCGGAGGAACUGUUUUCAAUGGAGGACUACUCUAUCUUUUUGCCACAGAUCGGACCAAAACCCUCUGGACUAAGCUAACAGAAAUGAUGUGGAAGCUUGAACGAGAAAUAAAGGAGAAACCAAAUAACAAGGCAAUUUCCGAAGGGCAAAAUGACCAGACAUUCCUAUCUAAGUUAAUUCGCGAAAGGUAUGCAAACAUCACUACACAAUUACUGACCCUAGAUGUAUACGCUGAUGGUAAAUGGUACAGUAUGAGUAACGCCCAGAGGCAGAAAUUACACCCUAUUGUUAUCAGUAACAACUGGAUAAUUGGAAACAAGAAUAAAAUCAACAGAGCAAAGGAAUGGAAUCAUUGGUUUUUACGUCCUGAUAAUACAUGUGAUAUGGAUACGGUUAAAAAGAUUGUUUACUCAGAAGUUUAGUAAAACGGUGUAGAUUAUGUCCGAUAUAUCUACGUUCUCCGUAUGCGCUCCGUUGAACGCUAAAGAAAGGGCACCAAAGCUACGACAUAGCAGCUUCAAACCUUGUUAAUAAAAGGAAAGGAAAUAAAAUAUGUUUUUCGCAGUCAUACAAAGCGAACGACAGAAUAAGACCGACAACUAUUAACUCAUUUUACAGCUUUGUCGAUCAUAUUCUGUCGUUCAUUUCGUAUGUACUCCGAAAUAACUUUAUUCAUUUUCUAACUGAGACGUCACGUUAAAAACGGUUAUCUUGGUUAUGACAUCAUAAAUUCAUUGAAUCCAUUACAAUUUCAAUGGACUAGCCUAUGUAUCAGUUUUCAUCGCCGUAAUGUCUGUCACUAUCAUAUCUAGUCCAAUAUCAAAACAUUGUAUGAUCUGAAAUACGAGUACUCAUGUGUUUUAUUACUCUUCUCAUUCCAUUGUUAACAUUUGUUCACAUAAACAGUGAUAUGAAAUCAACAAAAUACUUGAAGUUUUAUACAGAUGAUCUACGUUGUAAUAAUAAAUCAACAGACAUCGUAUAUGAAUGUUUUAAAAGUAAAAGACCUGUAUUAAAAGUAAUAUGAGGUUAUUUAACAGUGCUGAGUACAAUACUGAAUUCUAUUGGACGAGUACACAGCAGUAAUAAUCCAUAUUUGGACGAGGCGUAUUUGCCGAAUCGGCGCACUAAUUUGUCGGUCUGGAUUUGCAAAUGAAUGAUUUGCGCUAGAUAUCAUUUAAUUUUUAACUUUACAUUUUAACAGUAGCUUGCAUAAAAUAUGCAGCUGUGAUUUGCCUUCUGGUAAAACACACCGCGUGGUUUUUAUUUAAGGUGAAGAAGGUGUAAUGAGCGGGAUUUUCAAAAACAAGUUGCAUCCAUGAUAACAUACGUAAAUAAAAGUUGAUCUUCACCUGAUGUCUCUAAAUCCAGUGAAAAGUCAUUUUUGAAACUUUUUUCUCCAAAUUUGAAAGACGUUUGCAAACGACACCAUUUUGUUAUUAAUGAAUGACGCAUAGAAAAGGCCAUCUUUGAUACUAUUUUAUACUCCAAUAUUUUAUGCGAAAAUACACGCCUUUUCCAUCUUUACAAAGUAAAUGUAAAUACAGCGAUUUCACUAUCUUGAUCAAUGACCAAUAGAACAGCUGUCAGAAAUAAGUUAUAGCAAAGAGCUAUAAAAAUAAUGUAUUUUAUACUUCUUUGGUUAUAGUUAAUACCAUUCAUAAUUUCAAAUACAAGUCACUUAAUUAA